rnacentral:misc_RNA from 1 species
GAACGCACCUUGCGCCCUUUGGCUAUUCCGAAGGGCAUGCCUGUUUGAGUAUCAUGAACACUUCAACUCUCAUGGUUUGCCAUGAUGAGCUUGGACUUUGGAGGUCUUACCGGCCUGUGGUCGGCUCCUCUCAAAUGGAUCAGCUUGCCAGUGUUUGGUGGCAUCAUGGGUGUGAUAACUAUCUACGCCUGUGGUUUUCCACCGGAUAACCUUCAGUGAUGGAGGUUCGCUGGAGCUCAUAAAUGUCUCUCCUCACCGAGGACAGCUCUUUGAACGUUUGAUCUCAAAUCAGGUAGGACUACCCGCUGAACUUAAG